GACGAACGCUGGCGGCGUGCUUAACACAUGCAAGUCGAACGGAAAGGCCCUGCUUUUUUGGGGUGCUCGAGGGGCGAACGGGUGAGUAACACGUGAGUAACCUGCCCUUGACUUUGGGAUAACUUCAGGAAACUGGGGCUAAUACCGGAUAGGAUCUCCUGCUGCAUGGUGGGGGUGGGAAAUUUACGGCGGUUGGGGAUGGACGCGCGGCUUAUCAGCUUGUUGGUGGGGUAGUGGCUGACCAAGGCUUGGACGGGUAGCCGGCCUGAGAGGGUGACCGGCCCCAGUGGGCCAGGGGUGCGGCCAAGAGUGAUAAGGGGGGCAGGGGUGGAGACUAUAGCACACUGGGCGGAGGCGUGAUGCAGCACCGCCGCGUGGGAGAUGACGUCUUUUGGGUUGUAAACCGCUUUCGCCUGUGCCGCAGCGUGCGGGCCGUAACUGAAGAAAGAAGACCGGCCAACUUCGUU
rnacentral:rRNA from 1 species